rnacentral:rRNA from 1 species
GAGUUUGAUCAUGGCUCAGAACGAACGCUGGCGGCAGGCCUAACACAUGCAAGUCGAGCGCACCUUCGGGUGAGCGGCGGACGGGUUAGUAACGCGUGGGAACAUACCCUUUUCUACGGAAUAGCCUCGGGAAACUGAGAGUAAUACCGUAUAAGCCCUUCGGGGGAAAGAUUUAUCGGGAAAGGAUUGGCCCGCGUUAGAUUAGAUAGUUGGUGGGGUAAUGGCCUACCAAGUCUACGAUCUAUAGCUGGUUUUAGAGGAUGAUCAGCAACACUGGGACUGAGACACGGCCCAGACUCCUACGGGAGGCAGCAGUGGGGAAUCUUAGACAAUGGGCGCAAGCCUGAUCUAGCCAUGCCGCGUGUGUGAUGAAGGUCUUAGGAUCGUAAAGCACUUUCGCCAGGGAUGAUAAUGACAGUACCUGGUAAAGAAACCCCGGCUAACUCCGUGCCAGCAGCCGCGGUAAUACGGAGGGGGUUAGCGUUGUUCGGAAUUACUGGGCGUAAAGCGUACGUAGGCGGAUUGGAAAGUUGGGGGUGAAAUCCCAGGGCUCAACCCUGGAACUGCCUCCAAAACUAUCAGUCUAGAGUUCGAGAGAGGUGAGUGGAAUUCCAAGUGUAGAGGUGAAAUUCGUAGAUAUUUGGAGGAACACCAGUGGCGAAGGCGGCUCACUGGCUCGAUACUGACGCUGAGGUACGAAAGUGUGGGGAGCAAACAGGAUUAGAUACCCUGGUAG